CCUACGGGAGGCAGCAGUGGGGAAUUUUGCGCAAUGCUCGCAAGAGUGACGCAGCGACGCCGCGUGAAUGACGAAGGCCUUCGGGUCGUAAAGUUCUUUCGACAGGGAAGAAAAUGCCUAUAAGUAACUGUGUAUGAAUUGACGGUACCUGUAUAAGCAGCCCCGGCUAACUCCGUGCCAGCAGCCGCGGUAAUACGGAGGGGGCGGUCGUUGUUCGGAGUGACUGGGCGUAAAGAGUACGUAGGCGGUGUUGUAAGUCAUUAGUCAAAGGCUAGAGCUCAACUUUAGUAAGGCUAGUGAUACUAUAAUACUAGAGUAGCAGAGAGGAUUGCAGAAUUCCUGGUGUAGCGGUGAAAUGCGUAGAUAUCAGGAGGAAUACCGUUAGCGAAGGCGGCAAUCUGGCUGGAAACUGACGCUGAGGUGCGAAAGCGUGGGUAGCAAACAGGAUUAGAUACCCCAGUAGUC
rnacentral:rRNA from 1 species